GUCCACGCCGUAAACGAUGGAUACUAGCUGUUGGGGCAACUUCAGUGGCUAAGCGAAAGUGAUAAGUAUCCCACCUGGGGAGUACGUUCGCAAGAAUGAAACUCAAAGGAAUUGACGGGGGCCCGCACAAGCGGUGGAGCAUGUGGUUUAAUUCGAUGAUACGCGAGGAACCUUACCAAGGCUUAAAUGUAGUUUGACCGAUUUGGAAACGAUCUUUCGCAAGACAAUUACAAGGUGCUGCAUGGUUGUCGU
rnacentral:rRNA from 1 species